CGGCAGAGGCACGGGAUGUACGACAGCAGGACUGGUAGUGAUAAAGCAGCGACUGAGAGACACCACACCAGAUGCGGUCAGCGCUUCCAGACGCCCAGGGUGCUUAUGUGCUUAUGCGGUGUUGAGAGGUGGAACCAGGAGCGACCUAGCGAAUGACGAUCUAGGAGAGAGGCGGGCUCCCACUCCGAGGCGGAGCUUAGGUGGAUGACACAAGAAGAGGAAUUCACCCUACUGGCCUGAUGGAUGCUUGUCAGUAAAGGAGAAUGGCUUACACGAUCAUUAUGAGAUGCAGAACCACCAGUCAUGAACAAAGGCCAAGGCCCUAGCCUUUUCUUGCCACUUUAUGUGGUGAAUGGCAUAUUGACAAUUUUAUCUUUCUCUGCAGUUUACUUGUUAUUUUGUUUUUAUUUAGCACUGUAAAUUAUAUUGCUUCUUUGAUUUUA